UUUAUAUAUGGGUGCUCAAAAUUAUAAUUAUUUUUUAAAUUUAUUAUUUAAAAAAUUAUAUGAGUUGAAAGGCAUUUGUAUAAUGAAUUCAGAUUUACUGUUGCAUAACAUGAGAGAUUUGAUCAUUUGAACUAUUGGCAGUCUAACUCUGAUAUCAUUCCCUCAUAUUACAUAUUCCAUUUCAUUCUUUUUCCUAUUUUAAUCACUCCUCUAUUACUUGUUUUUUAAUCCAAAACGGUCUAACCCGAUAUCAUUCAACUCCCUGUGUAUUCAAUAAUUGGGGACCUUCUUACUUGCUUCUUUUCUUCACGGAUUAUUGUCUGUAUAUAUAUUUCUUCUAUUAAACAAAGUUGCUAUAUAUCUUGACCAGAUACACUUCACCCGUAACAUUUUCAUUAUUUUAACAUAUAAUCAACCAUAAGACAUAUUUAAUUAUAUACAUAUACAACUUGUAUAAGCUUAUUUAUAACCCCGAAGAACCACAGCAGACAGCACCCACUCACCCACAGUCUCAUCAAUUCAUUUACUAGUAAUACAUUUUCUCUGUUUUCUAGUAUAUAUUUGUAUCACUUGUUUAGUGCUCUGCUCAAGAAUCAAGAUCAAUAUGGAAGGAAGAAAAGUCACCGGUUGGGCUGCCAGAGAUGCAUCUGCAAUUCUCUCUCCUUACUCAUAUCAUCUAAGGUCUNNNNNNNNNNNNNNNNNNNNNNNNNNNNNNNNNNNNNNNNNNNNNNNNNNNNNNNNNNNNNNNNNNNNNNNNNNNNNNNNNNNNNNNNNNNNNNNNNNNNAUAUCACGACCAUUAUUUGUUCAUUCUCUUAAUCACUCAUACAUACUACUAGCUAAUAAAUAUACCAUACUUGGAUUAGAAAUUUCUUUGAUAAGACUAUUGAUUUUUCAUUUUGCGUAACAGAGGAAGUAUGUACACAUGUACUAUUUAUUUGGAGCAUCGAGCAUGGUAUGUGAAAUCUUGUCCGCUAGAAAGAGAUCCAAAUUCGCUUUUGCCAGGUGUAUGCAUGUAUGGCCGGUACUAAAAGGAAUAUACCCAAACUGUCAUAAUAUAAUAUUUGCAUGGUUUACAACACAUUCAAACGAUUCCUUCCCCCCUACCCCCUACCCCUAGCACUACCCCUAUCCCUAAUAACUAGUAAGUAGCCUGUCAUCCUCAUCUCACAUAACAAACUAGUUGCCCUAGUAAAUAAUAGAGCUAGCUACACAGUUCUUUAGUAAAGAACAAAUUUAAUUUCUAAAUGAGUGUUCGUGCGUGCACACAGUAGAAAUGGCCUUUAGUGUAAAGUUUGUGUCCGACCUGAUAAUCAGUAUGAGAAUACUCCACAUUUAGACAUUACUCAAUUGUGCUUUAAUAAUAAAAGAUCAUGCCCAAGUGGAAGACCGGUUGUUGAAAUAAUAGUACGAUUAAAUGGUUUUAAUUCGUUUUUUUUUUACCUAACAUGGAAUUCGAUUUCCGGUCCAACCCGAUUUUCAUAACCGAAGCACAAUUGAAUAUUGGGAGCCUAUUUAAAAUAAAAAUACCCAAGCUACCUAGCCUUCGUAUACAAAUUGCUUCAAAAGAGGAUCUCAUUCACAAGUGAGGAUCCAAACCCUUGUUAAGUUAACAUGUGAAGUAAGAUUUCCAGAGGAAUCAAGAAUUUGGAGACGCCACAAAAUUUGAAAAUAAAAUCGUCUCAAUCUCACCACCACCUCCCCACCAACUAAAAAACCUAGUCAAAUAAACCGUAUAGCAUGAUGGGUCCCAGCCCAAAAAAGCUAUUCACCGUCUCGACUCCUUGGCCAAACCAAACCAAGCCAAGCCCUUAUAAAAUGUCACUUCCUUAGGCCAUGGAGAUGCUGCACCAUUCUUUUUCAGUCCAAUAUUCUUAUUGAAUUCUAAUAGUAGUAAUAAUAAUAAUAAUACAGGAGAUCAGAGUUUGAAGAGGAGCUAGAGACGUACCAACUCAUACACAAGCACCGUGGCUGCUAUGAGACACUUAUCAUGUAUAGUAUUAACAGUUGUAAUGAUAAUGUUCAUAUUCUUUACUCAGCCAAGUAUUGUAGAUUCUAGAGUGCUUCUUCAUUCAACUUCAGCAACAAAGAAUGAGAAGAUUGCCGGCUCCAAAACGGCAGGCGGGCUUCCGGCUACCGGAAUAUCUGCACCUUCGGUUUCAGUAAGCCAUUUUGUUGAAAGAAAUCGAGUAUAUACACUAGCCUCUGGCCCGAGCAGAAAAGGACCUGGGCACAAGUGAAUUCCCAUUCCAAUUUCACCUUUUUUUCCUUCAUUUCAUUUGGUUUGUACUUAAAACAUUGGAGGUGUAUCAUAUUAAGAAUAUAGUGCAGCUAUAGUCUAUAGAUAUGAUUAGCUAAGCUCACUUUCUAUAUUUAAGAAAUUCUUUCAUUCUCUUUUCAGCUUUUGUAUGCGAACGUAUAAGCAGAACUCGACCAAUAUGGUCUAUGUUUCCAAUGAAAUAGUAGAAAUUAUGAACAUAGCUACCUACUAUUUUUAUUUUUUUAUUUUUGAUGACCACAAACAUUGACGACAUAUUAAAUUUUAAAAUUGGUAUGACUCAUAAAAGUUUAGAAUGAUAAAUUUUAAAAUUAAUAGUUUUUGUUAAUGUACUAUACAAUUAUAAUAAUUG
rnacentral:lncRNA from 1 species